rnacentral:rRNA from 1 species
AACGAACGCUGGCGGCAGGCUUAACACAUGCAAGUCGAACGCAUCCUUCGGGGUGAGUGGCAGACGGGUGAGUAACGCGUGGGAACGUGCCCUUCAGUUCGGAAUAACCCAGGGAAACUUGGGCUAAUACCGGAUACGUGCGAGAGCAGAAAGAUUUAUCGCUGAAGGAUCGGCCCGCGUCUGAUUAGCUAGUUGGUGAGGUAAUGGCUCACCAAGGCGACGAUCAGUAGCUGGUCUGAGAGGAUGAUCAGCCACAUUGGGACUGAGACACGGCCCAAACUCCUACGGGAGGCAGCAGUGGGGAAUAUUGGACAAUGGGCGCAAGCCUGAUCCAGCCAUGCCGCGUGAGUGAUGAAGGCCUUAGGGUUGUAAAGCUCUUUCAGUGGGGACGAUAAUGACGGUACCCGCAGAAGAAGCCCCGGCUAACUUCGUGCCAGCAGCCGCGGUAACAC